rnacentral:miRNA from 1 species
CUCGCUAACAUAAAUAUUGUC